GACGAACGCUGGCGGCGUGCUUAACACAUGCAAGUCGAACGGAAAGGCCUCUUUCGGGGGGUACUCGAGUGGCGAACGGGUGAGUAACACGUGAGUAACCUGCCCUUGACUUUGGGAUAACUUCAGGAAACUGGGGCUAAUACCGGAUAGGAGCUCCUGCUGCAUGGUGGGGGUUGGAAAGUUUCGGCGGUUGGGGAUGGACUCGCGGCUUAUCAGCUUGUUGGUGGGGUAGUGGCUUACCAAGGCCUUGACGGGUAGCCGGCCUGAGAGGGUGACCGGCCACAUUGGGACUGAGAUACGGCCCAGACGCCUACGGGAGGCAGCAGUGGGGAAGAUUGCACAAUGGGUGGAAGCCUGAUGCAGCAACGCCGGGUGCGGGAUGACGGCCUUCGGGUUGGAAACCGCUUUCGCUCAUGACGAAGCUUUGUGUGACGGUAGUGGGUAAAGAAGCACCGGCUAACUACGUG
rnacentral:rRNA from 1 species